GUGAGAGGCAUCGAUUUCCACAAGCAGCAGCCGCUCUUCGUGUCCGGGGGCGACGACUACAAAAUCAAGGUGUGGAAUUACAAACUGAGGCGCUGCCUGUUCACUCUGCUGGGACACCUGGAUUACAUCAGGACCACGUUCUUCCACCAUGAAUAUCCCUGGAUCCUGAGUGCCUCUGAUGACCAAACCAUCCGUGUGUGGAACUGGCAGUCCAGGACCUGU